GGCGUGCCUAACACAUGCAAGUCAGGGAGAAAAGGGUAGCAAUAUCCUGAGUAAACCGGCGAACGGGUGAGUAACACGUAGGCAACUUACCUCGUGAACGGGAAUAACCACGCGAAAGCGUGGCUAAUACCCGAUGAUUUGCGCUGUAGCAUUACAGUGCAAUUAAAGGCCCGCAAGGGCGUCACGAGAUGGGCCUGCGUCCCAUUAGAUAGUUGGCGGGGUAAUGGCCCACCAAGUCGACGAUGGGUAGCUGGUCUGAGAGGACGACCAGCCACACUGGAACUGAGACACGGUCCAGACUUCUACGGAAGGCAGCAGUGAGGAAUAUUGCUCAAUGGGCGAAGGCCUGAAGCAGCGACGCCGCGUGAGGGAUGAAAUCCGUUAGGAUGUAAACCUCUUUUACAGGGGAAGAAUGUGCCACUUGGUGGCAUUGACGGUACCCUGUGAAUAAGCACCGGCUAACUACGUGCCAGCAGCCGCGGUAAUACGUAGGGUGCGAGCGUUGUCCGGAAUUACUGGGUGUAAAGGGUCCGCAGGCGGGCAGGAAAGUCAGAGGUGAAAGACUUCGGCUCAACCGAAGAAUUGCCUUUGAUACUUCUUGUCUUGAAUCCGAGAGAGGAUAGUGGAAUUCAUGGUGUAGCGGUGAAAUGCGUAGAGAUCAUGAAGAACACCAGUAGCGAAGGCGGCUAUCUGGCUCGGUAUUGACGCUCAGGGACGAAAGCGUGGGUAGCAAACAGGAUUAGAUACCCUGGUAGUCC
rnacentral:rRNA from 1 species